rnacentral:rRNA from 1 species
AACGAACGCUGGCGGCAUGCUUAACACAUGCAAGGUCGAACGCUCGGGUUUCGGCCCGGAGUGGCGCACGGGUGAGUAGCGCGUGGGAACCUGCCCUGAAGUGGGGGAUAACCGAUGGAAACGUCGGCUAAUACCGCAUACGCCGGGUGUCUUGAGAGAGAUGUCCCGGGAAAGAUUUAUCGCUUUAGGAGGGGCCCGCGUCGGAUUAGCUAGUUGGUGGGGUAACGGCCUACCAAGGCGAUGAUCCGUAGCUGGUCUGAGAGGAUGAUCAGCCACACUGGGACUGAGACACGGCCCAGACUCCUACGGGAGGCAGCAGGUGGGGAAUAUUGGACAAUGGGCGCAAGCCUGAUCCAGCAAUGCCGCGUGAGUGAGGGAAGG